AUUGUCAAAACCUAGUAGCAAGUAAGAUGUACUUCAGUAGGUGAUUAGAUACACUUCUGACAGUGGAAUAGUAUCUAGCAGUAAAAAAGAUUAAGCCACAUGGGAGGAAACUGUUUCCUACUAAGUGAAGAGAAAACGAUCUGAAGAGGCUUUAUUCAUAUUAUCCCAACCCUGUGACAUUUGGGGAAGGAAGUCAAAAAGAAAAAAUGUGGGAUUCCUAGGAUUUUAAGAGGAGAGUGAAACUAUUCUGUAUGAUUCUGUAAUUUCAGAUACAUGCCAUCACACACUUGGAAAACCAUAGACUCUCCAACAGCAAAAGUGAACCCAGCAUAGACUAGACUCUGAUAAUGGUGGGUUGGUAUAGGUUCAUCUGUUGUAACAAAUAUACCACUCUGGUGCAGGGGGUUGAGUGGGUGACUGUACACAUAUGUGGGCCGAGGGCAUGCAGGGACUUGCUGUACUCAACAUUCAGUUUUCUGUGAACCUAAAUCUGGUCUGAAAAUUAAAUUCUAUUAAAAAAUACAAACUUGCUAUCUUAAAUUUAGAUUGGCUUAGUCUGGAGAACUAAAUAGGAAAAUUUUUAUGUAAGUUUUCAUCUGUGCAGCUUCUAUAUAAUGUCUUGAUAUAGUUGGCCCUUCUGUCAAGGACAAAUAGGCUAAGAGAAAUACAUUUCACAUUUACGUAUUUUAAUAUAUAUUCUAGGAAAUUUUAAAAGUUAACUUUUAAAGUAAAAUUUAAAGUAAACUUCUGGAAAAGGGUGGAGCCACAUAUCUGAAUUUUUCAGGCUUCUUGAGCUUCCAUUUGGGCUCCUCUGUUUAGUAUCAAGUAGUGUUUCUCUUCUGAGAUUUAGACUGCAGGCUUCUUAGCACAGUUUUGUUCUCUGUCAUCUGCUGAACUAUAAGCUUCAUAGGGCUGGUCCUAUAAAGAUGUUCAGUUUCUUUUAUAUUCCUAGAGCCUAGCAUAGUGAAUGCCUUGAUAAAUAUUAGUUGAAUAAUACAUAAAUUAAUUAAUAAAUAAAUGAAGGUGCUUAUCUCCAUUUAACAUAAUUGUUGCAAGGAGCUUCUCAAUAUGAUUUGAUCAUUAUUAUUUUCACAAACUUUAUGUAGAACUAUAGCUUAAAAAUUGGCACAUCUACACCGAAGGUUUUGUAAGAUAAAGUGUGUACAUUGCCAAAGUACUUGAAAUUCUCUGAGGGAAAAAAAUGUGUGUGUGGAACCAACACUCAAGAGCACUGGCUAGCUGGCAGUGGUAGGGCACUUCCCAGCAUUUGAGGGACAGAAGUAGGCAGACCUCUGAUUUUGAAGCCAGCCUGGUCCACAUUACAAGUUCCAGGGUAGCCAGGGCUACACAGAGAGACCCUGUCUCAAAAGACAAAAAAGCAACACCAUGAAAAGACCUAGCACCAGGCACACACACGUGGUGCGCUAAUACGCACAAAAGCAGGACACUUGCACAUGUACACUGAAAUGGAUAAAGAAGAAGUAUAUGAGGUGUUAUACUCUACAUAUGGUAAACUUAAAUUUGUAUCACUAAAACACAUUUUAAAAGAUCUUUUGCAAUAUUAUAAUCCCCAACAAUGUUAUUAUAUAAUUUCAGAAUUUUGAGAAAGGUAAAAAUAAUUGUUCAGAUCAUGUAGAAAACAGUAGUCUAUAAUUACCAAUUUGUUUAAGAAACUUUUAAAUAUACCCACUGAUAAUGAUCAUUUAACAGUGACAUAGAAAUUAAUGAACAGAAAUGGUGGUCCUAUCUUAUGGAUGGUUACAUAAUUGGCCAUCAUAUCUGACAGCGGGGGAUUUUAUUUUUAUUUUUUGUUUUUUUGAGACAGGGCUUCUCUGUAUAGCCUUGGCUGUUGGAUUUUAUUUUUUAAGUGAAUGAGUGUGUACACAUGCCAUGUGUGUUCAGGUCACUGUGAAGGCCUGCAGAGGAUGUUGGAUAACAUGGAACUGGAGUUCCUUCACAUUGUGAGCUGUGUGAUGUGGAUGCUGGGAACUAACCCCUCCCCCAGGCCUGGAAGGAGCAGCCAGUGCUCUUUACUACAAACCAGUUCUUCAAACAUAGAGCUAGAAUUUUAUAAGGAAUCCUAGUGCUCUUAAAAGACAUUGCCACUAUAUUCAUCUUUAGCAGAGAUGGCUCAAAAGUUAGGAGCAUGGCUACUCUUUCAGAGGACCCAGGUUUAAUUCCCAGCACCCACAUGGCAGUCACAACCGUCUGUAAUUCCAUUUGCAAGGGAUCCAGUGCACUCUUCUGGCCUCCUUGGGCAUGAGGCUUCCAAGUGGUAUGUAAACAUAUAUGCUUAGGUAAAAGACCUGUAGGCAUGAAAUAAAAGAAAAAUUAUUUAAAACAUUUUUUGUCAAGUACCAAGUUGUUUGCAUUUCUGAACAGGUUUUUGGUUUUGUGUAUCAUAUUUGUGAGACUUGGUCUAUUAGUUUAGCCGUGUAGCUGUGAAAACAUAAUGAUCAUUGUACAGUACAAGUUUCUUAAGUGGUUUUCAGAAAAUAACUAGUGAUUAUAAUCUGGAAUUUAAAUUAAAAUGGAUCCUUUUUUGAUUUUUGUAUACUCUGACUAUUCUUUGUAAAACCAUCUACUAUAAUAAAAGAUUGUAAACUUGAAAUUGUUUUAAGAGUAUUGGAAAACGAGUGUGAGACUUAUCAGUGGGGUGCUAUAUAUUACCUUCACUGCUAGUGACUGCAGUCAGUAAGGAUCAUGUACGGACAGUGCUUCUGACUUCAGUAGCAGCCUCAGGGUCUUGAGUCACCAUUCAGCACAGACAUAAUAUGGCUACCACCGUUAUUAGCACUUCCACAAAAUACUGUGGGAUUGGAAGUAAGGAGUUUGAAGGAAUUGAUAUAAUUGUAGAGUAAAAAAGAAUUCUGUCCUAAUUUUUAAAAAAAUUAAGGAAAACAGGUAGAUUUUUAACCUUAACAGGGUCAAGCCAAGAGCAAAAAGCAAAACCCACAAUAAUUAUUCCAAGAGAGAACGCAACAGAAGAUUAUCUGAACAAGUAUCAGAGCUGGGCAUGGUGGUGCAUGCCUUUAGUCCCAGCACUCCUGAGACAGAGACAGGAGAUGUCUUUAAUUUGAAGCCAGUCUAAUCUACCUAGAGCAUUAUAGGCCAUCUAGGGUUCAAUAGUGAGAUAUGUCUCAAAUAAGAGAAAAAUAAACAAAACAAUAACAACAAAAAUUGUACUAGAGAACUAAAAGGUCUAAAUUGGAAUAUCACAGUAAAGUGGAGAGUAACAGUGAGAAACACUAUCUAAGAGAAUAGGUGUGUGGACCCAACCAUGCAGAAAGAACCUAUAGUUGGUGUCUGUUCUAAGUACAACACUACAGGGAACAAGACUAAGAAGAGCAUGUAUUCAAAAUCCAUUUCAUAGUCUGUGUUGGUAGUCACAGUUUUAUUCAUCCCACACACAUAGCUUCCUGCGAUGAUGAACAUAAAGAAAAAACUUAAACAGAAAUCUUUGCUUUUGUCAACCUCAUAUCAUAAUAGAAGACAAUAUAAUUACAAAAAAUAUGGUAUUCUGAAAGAAAAGUUAGGAGGAAAAGAAGAAAGAUAUGUGGGUAGGUAAUAAAAUUGCUGAUGGAGCCUUUGAUUCAAAAGUGAUCAUUUGAGUAAAGACAGGAAAAAUUCCUAGACUUGAGCUGUCUAAGCAAGAGUAUUCUUGGAAGAAAGGUAACUAGCAAGUGGGAAGGUAUGGAGUAGCAGAUCAAUGUAGCUGAAGCAGUAAGUAGAGGGAGAAUGUAAGAUCACUAGCAGAGCCUGAGCCACUGGGCACUUAGAGAGGAGUGAUGAGAACAGAGCAGCUGCCAUUGCUACGGAAGCAUUACGGGAGCCUACUGUGGCUUAAUAGUUGAUGAAGUCCUUGGUGAUGCAUGUUUAUCUAGCCAGUUCUGAGAAUAUCAAUGAUAAAGGCAUAAUACAAUUGAUAACAUCCUCCCUGUGUUAAUUAUAUAACCAUAUCUUUAAAUUCAGUCUUUAAGGCUCUGUUUUUAAGUUUGUAGUGAGUGAGUCAUCCUUUUUUGAGGCUGUUAGCUGAAUGCUAAUAUAAAUACCAUCUUUCCAUAAGGAAGAGAGCAGAAACCUUAAUUUUAUGAAUUUUCAACUGAAAAUAAUAGAUUCAUGAGCUAACUUGUCUGUGUAAACUAUAAACAGUUUCGCAUCUAUGCUUCUAAAGUAGAAUUAAUUACUAGAUCUAUUUUCCUAUUUCCCACAGCUAUUUUAAGUUUUUAAAAAAUAUUUGCAUUUUGAUACUUUUUGUGUUUUAUUUAAAAAUAAGCUUGAUUUUUAUACACUCUUCUGAGACAUUGGCAUGGAUGUCAUACAUGGUUGAAAUACUUUUUUUUUUAGCUAAACAAGUUUAUAUUAAAGAUGUAAUGUGUUUGUAGUGACGGUGGCAAAGGGCGUAUGAAUCAUAAGAAAAAUAUUAAACCAUGAAAAAUACCUUUUGUCCUGUGAUAUUGAUCCUCUCUUGAAUACAGUAAUUCCCAAGUGGAGUUUGUAUAAAAAUCGACUUUGCUAUAUUUUAUCCUCUGCAAACAUUCAAAGGCUUGCAGGUUUUGCCUGGUUUCUUUUUUUUUCUUUUAAAUAGCCGCUUUGACAUUUAAUCAGAAGCAUGCCUCAUUAUGGCAUAGUAGAUCUUUAAACAAAGGACCAAGGAACCUGGAUUAAGAAUUCUAACCAUGUGUGUACAAAGUCAGGCUCUUUAGUCACCAGCAGUAGCCUGGAUGGUUACUUUGGUUGCCUAAGAUACUGGUACCAAAAAAUUUGUUAAUUCAUAUAUUUCACUUUUCCUUGAAAAUGCAGUAUAUUUUUAGACAUUGGGUUUUGUUUUUUGUUUUGUUUUGAUUUGAUUAGUCUUAAGUUCAUUUUACUGAGUAUAAGAAGCAUGUUAAUAUAAAAUGUAAACAUUAGCUUCUUGGUAUUGUAGUUUUAUUUAUCUUGUCAGUUUUACAUUCUGAAAAUCAUUUUUUGUUAUUUUAUCUCUUGAUUUUAUUUUACUUAUUUAUUUUUUCCGAGACAGGGUUUCUCUGUGUAGCCCUGGCUGUCCUGGAACUCACUCUGUAGACCAGGCUGGCCACUACCACCCGGCUUUGAUUUUAUGUUUUAUCUUUUGAUUACAGGAGACUAAGUUUUAAACCCAAGGCUUCAUGCUUGUUAAGCGAGUAUUAAACCACUGAGCAAAUCUCUUCCAGUCCUGAAAGUCUUAAUAAAUAAUUAGC
rnacentral:lncRNA from 1 species